rnacentral:rRNA from 1 species
AUUGAACGCUGGCGGCAGGCCUAACACAUGCAAGUCGAACGAGUGGCGGACGGGUGAGUAAUGUCUGGGAAACUGCCUGAUGGAGGGGGAUAACUACUGGAAACGGUAGCUAAUACCGCAUACCAUCGGAUGUGCCCAGAUGGGAUUAGCUAGUAGGUGGGGUAACGGCUCCCCUAGGCGACGAUCCCUAGCUGGUCUGAGAGGAUGACCAGGAACACUGGGACUGGGAGACGGUCCAGACUCCUACGGGAGGCAGCGGUGGGGAAUAUUGCACAAUGGGCGCAAGCCUGAUGCAGACAUGCCGCGUGUAUGAAGAAGGCCUUGAGGUUGUAAAGUACUUUCAGCGGGGAGGCGUUACCCGCAGAAGAAGCACCGGCUAACUCCGUGCCAGAAGCCGCGGUAAUAC